CUACGGGUGGCUGCAGUGAGGAAUAUUGCACAAUGGGGGGAACCCUGAUGCAGCAACGCCGCGUGGAGGAUGACGCAUUUCGGUGUGUAAACUCCUUUUAUAUGUCAAGAAAAUGACGGUAGCAUAUGAAUAAGCACCGGCUAACUCCGUGCCAGCAGCCGCGGUAAUACGGAGGGUGCAAGCGUUACUCGGAAUCACUGGGCGUAAAGGACGCGUAGGCGGGUUGGAAAGUCAGGUGUGAAAUCCUACAGCUUAACUGUAGAACUGCACUUGAAACUUCUAAUCUAGAGUAUGGGAGGGGGAGAUGGAAUUAGUGGUGUAGGGGUAAAAUCCGUAGAUAUCACUAGGAAUACCUAAAGCGAAGGCGACCUCCUGGAACAUUACUGACGCUAAGGCGUGAAAGCGUGGGGAGCAAACAGGAUUAGAUACCCCUAGUAGUC
rnacentral:rRNA from 1 species